GUAGGUGAACCAGCGGAGGGAUCAUUACAGAGUUGCAAAACUCCCAAACCAUUGUGAACGAUACCCGUACCGUUGCUUCGGCGAGCCGGCUCCCCCCGUAACCCGGGUGGCUGCCGUAGCCCCUCUCGGGGGGCGGCCCGCCGGACGACACACUAAACUCUUGUCUCACACAGGCCUCUCUGAGAACUUAUACAAAUGAGUCAAAACUUUCAACAACGGAUCUCUUGGUUCUG
rnacentral:misc_RNA from 1 species